AAAAAAGAAAAAGAAAGAAACUCACCCACUGUUGGUUGGUUCAGAGGUAUCUGGCACUGAACUCGGUAGGGCGGAUUACGAUCCGAUCCCCCACAACUACAGUUGGGUCCAAAAGAAAAAGGGUUUACACAUAUUUAUGUGCCAGGAAACCCAUGCUCAGAUCAUAAUCACUAACAGGCCACUCUACUAUGAAGCAUGUACGGAUAACGGGCUUAAUGUGAUUGCGCCUGAAUGAAAAGG
rnacentral:lncRNA from 1 species